AUUGAACGCUGGCGGCAUGCCUUACACAUGCAAGUCGAACGGCAGCACGGGGGCAACCCUGGUGGCGAGUGGCGAACGGGUGAGUAAAGCAUCGGAACGUACCCGGAAGUGGGGGAUAACGUAGCGAAAGUUACGCUAAUACCGCAUAUUCUGUGAGCAGGAAAGAGGGGGAUCGCAAGACCUCUCGCUUUCGGAGCGGCCGAUGUCGGAUUAGCUAGUUGGUGGGGUAAAGGCCUACCAAGGCGACGAUCCGUAGCUGGUCUUAGAGGAUGAUCAGCCACACUGGGACUGAGAAACGGCCCAGACUCCUACGGGAGGCAGCAGUGGGGAAUUUUGGACAAUGGGGGCAACCCUGAUCCAGCCAUGCCGCGUGAGUGAAGAAGGCCUUCGGGUUGUAAAGCUCUUUCGGACAGAAAGAAAUCGCACAGGAUAAUACCUUGUGUGGAUGACGGUACUGUCAUAAGAAGCACCGGCUAACUACGUGCCAGCAGCCGCCGUAA
rnacentral:rRNA from 1 species